GAUUCCCCUAGUAACUGCGAGUGAGGCGGGAAAAGCUCAAAUUUAAAAUCUGGCAGUCUCCAGCUGUCCGAGUUGUAAUCUAGAGAAGUGUUAUCCGCGUUGGACCGUGUACAAGUCUCCUGGAAUGGAGCAUCAUAGAGGGUGAGAAUCCCGUCUUUGACACGGACUGCCAGGGCUUUGUGAUGCGCUCUCAAAGAGUCGAGUUGUUUGGGAAUGCAGCUCAAAAUGGGUGGUAAAUUCCAUCUAAAGCUAAAUAUUGGCGAGAGACCGAUAGCGAACAAGUACCGUGAGGGAAAGAUGAAAAGAACUUUGAAAAGAGGGUUAAAUAGCACGUGAAAUUGUUGAAAGGGAA
rnacentral:rRNA from 1 species